rfam:Enterococcus casseliflavus EC20 cont1.8, whole genome shotgun sequence.
AUCAGAGUAGGAAAUAAAGCGUUAAGUGCUGAAAGGAUGGGAUGUUGCCUUUCGGACGAAGAACGAUCAUUCGUUCGCGGUUUUAUUUUCGCAUUCGCUGCAU